GCUGGGCGUGGUGCUGCAUGCCUGUAAUCCAAGCUACUAGGGAGGCUGAGGCAGGAGAAUCGCUUGAGCCUGGGAGGUGGAGGUUGCAGUGAGCCAAGAUCUCACCACUGAACUCUAGCCUGGGCAACAGAGCAAGACUCUGUCUCAA
ensembl:misc_RNA Metazoa_SRP Metazoan signal recognition particle RNA